GUGCUCAAUUUGGCUGCACAUAUACUAAAAUUGGAAUGAUACAAAGAAGAUUAGCAUGGUCCCUGUGCAAGGAUGACAUGUAAAUUUUUAAAUAUUAAAAAAAAGAA